rnacentral:tRNA from 1 species
GGUAAGGUGGCCGAGUGUUUAGGCGGUGGGCUGUAGACUCAUAGACAGGGGUUUAAUUCCUCUGCUUACC